UGUCAUGGAGGCGCUCUCUUCA
rnacentral:miRNA from 3 species